GCCCUGUACUUUUAAAAUUUUAUCUUUAAAUAUUUUGUUCAGUUUUCCCCCAGCUGCCUCAAUCCCAUCAGGCUUCAGUGGUGCUGAGAUGGGCCAGAGAGCAGCUGACAUGCAGGGAUAGCUUGAGUCUGUGUUCCUGGGUGAGCCAAGAAGGGGAGCCAAGGUGGUUGCAUGCAACGGCUUAGCCAUGAACAGCAUGGACUGAUGGUUGGAAGAGCCGGUAUCUGUGGCUGUGAUCUGACAUUUUCAAGCUGAGACC
rnacentral:snoRNA from 1 species